AGUGAACGCUGGCGGUAGGCCUAACACAUGCAAGUCGAACGGCAGCACAGUAAGAGCUUGCUCUUACGGGUGGCGAGUGGCGGGCGGGUGAGGAAUACAUCGGAAUCUACUUUUUCGUGGGGGAUAACGUAGGGAAACUUACGCUAAUACCGCAUACGACCUACGGGUGAAAGCAGGGGAUCUUCGGACCUUGCGCGAUUGAAUGAGCCGAUGUCGGAUUAGCUAGUUGGCGGGGUAAAGGCCCACCAAGGCGACGAUCCGUAGCUGGCCUGAGAGGAUGAUCAGCCACACUGGAACUGAGACACGGUCCAGACUCCUACGGGAGGCAGCAGUGGGGAAUAUUGGACAAUGGGCGCAAGCCUGAUCCAGCCAUACCGCGUGGGUGAAGAGGGCCUUCGGGUUGUAAAGCCCUUUUGUUGGGAAAGAAAAGCAGCAGGUUAAUACCCCGCUGUUCUGACGGUACCCAAAGAAUAAGCACCGGCUAACUUCGUG
rnacentral:rRNA from 1 species